rnacentral:rRNA from 1 species
AGUGAACGCUGGCGGUAGGCCUAACACAUGCAAGUCGAACGGCAGCACAGUAAGAGCUUGCUCUUACGGGUGGCGCGUGGCGGACGGGUGAGGAAUACAUCGGAAUCUACUUUUUCGUGGGGGAUAACGUAGGGAAACUUACGCUAAUACCGCAUACGACCUACGGGUGAAAGCAGGGGAUCUUCGGACCUUGCGCGAUUGAAUGAGCCGAUGUCGGAUUAGCUAGUUGGCGGGGUAAAGGCCCACCAAGGCGACGAUCCGUAGCUGGUCUGAGAGGAUGGUCAGCCACACUGUAACUGAGACACGGUCCAGACACCUACGGGAGGCAGCAGUGGGGAAUAUUGGACAAUGGGGGCAAGCCUGAUCCAGCCAUACCGCGUGGGUGAAGAAGGCCUUAGGGUUGGAAAGCCCUUUUGUUGGGAAAGAAAAGCAGCAGGUUAAUACCCCGCUGUUCUGACGGUACCCAAAGAAUAAGCACCGGCUAACUUCGUG